rnacentral:hammerhead_ribozyme from 1 species
AUCCAGCUGACGAGUUCCAAGUAGGACGAAACGCGUGUCCUUGAU